rnacentral:rRNA from 1 species
UGGUAGCGAUAGCAUGAUGGACACACCUGUACCCAUACCGAACACAGAAGUUAAGCAUCAUAACGGCGAAGAUAGUACUGAGGUGCG